GAUGAACGCUGGCGGCGUGCCUAAUACAUGCAAGUCGAGCGAACAGACGAGGAGCUUGCUCCUCUGACGUUAGCGGCGGACGGGUGAGUAACACGUGGAUAACCUACCUAUAAGACUGGGAUAACUUCGGGAAACCGGAGCUAAUACCGGAUAAUAUAUUGAACCGCAUGGUUCAAUAGUGAAAGACGGUUUUGCUGUCACUUAUAGAUGGAUCCGCGCCGCAUUAGCUAGUUGGUAAGGUAACGGCUUACCAAGGCAACGAUGCGUAGCCGACCUGAGAGGGUGAUCGGCCACACUGGAACGGAGACACGGUCCAGACUCCUACGGGAGGCAGCAGUAGGGAAUCUUCCGCAAUGGGCGAAAGCCUGACGGAGCAACGCCGCGUGAGUGAUGAAGGGCUUCGGAUCGUAAAACUCUGUUAUUAGGGAAGAACAAAUGUGUAAGUAACUAUGCACGUCUUGACGGUACCUAAUCAGAAAGCCACGGCUAACUACGUGC
rnacentral:rRNA from 1 species